AAUUCUUUAAUCAUAAUUAAAAUUGACAGAAUAAUAUACCCUCUAACAUAUAAAUGCUUAUGUUAUGACAUUAA